rnacentral:rRNA from 1 species
UACGAAGGGGGCUAGCGUUGUUCGAAAUUACUGGGCGUAAAGCGCACGUAGGCGGAUCCUUAAGUCAGGGGUGAAAUCCCGAGGCUCAACCUCGGAACUGCCUUUGAUACUGGGAUAUCGAGUCCGGGAGAGGUGAGUGGAACUGCGAGUGUAGAGGUGAAAUUCGUAGAUAUUCGCAAGAACACCAGUGGCGAAGGCGGCUCACUGGCCCGGUACUGACGCUGAGGUGCGAAAGCG